AUGCACGCUGGCGGCGUGCCUAAUACAUGCAAGUCGAGCGGACGGACGAGAAGCUUGCUUCUCUGAUGUUAGCGGCGGACGGGUGAGUAACACGUGGAUAACCUACCUAUAAGACUGGGAUAACUUCGGGAAACCGGAGCUAAUACCGGAUAAUAUUUUGAACCGCAUGGUUCAAAAGUGAAAGACGGUCUUGCUGUCACUUAUAGAUGGAUCCGCGCUGCAUUAGCUAGUUGGUAAGGUAACGGCUUACCAAGGCAACGAUGCAUAGCCGACCUGAGAGGGUGGUCGGCCACACUGGAGCUGGACCACGGUCCAGACGCCUACGGGAGGCAGCAGUAGGGAAUCUUCCGCAAUGGGCGAAAGCCUGACGGAGCAACGCCGCGUGAGUGAUGAAGGUCUUCGGAUCGUAAAACUCUGUUAUUAGGGAAGAACAUAUGUGUAAGUAACUGUGCACAGCUUGACGGUACCUAAUCAGAAAGCCACGGCUAACUACGUG
rnacentral:rRNA from 1 species